rnacentral:rRNA from 1 species
GGAUGAACGCUGGCGGCGUGCCUAAUACAUGCAAGUCGAGCGAACAGACGAGGAGCUUGCUCCUCUGACGUUAGCGGCGGACGGGUGAGUAACACGUGGAUAACCUACCUAUAAGACUGGGAUAACUUCGGGAAACCGGAGCUAAUACCGGAUAACAUGUUGAACCGCAUGGUUCAACAGUGAAAGACGGUCUUGCUGUCACUUAUAGAUGGAUCCGCGCCGCAUUAGCUAGUUGGUAAGGUAACGGCUUACCAAGGUAACGAUGCGUAGCCGACCUGAGGGGGUCAUUGGCCGCGCAGGAACUGAGACACGGUCCAGACUGCUACGGGAGGCAGCAGUAGGGAAUCUUCAGCAAUGGGCGAAAGCCUGACGGAGCAGCGCCGCGUGAGUGAAGAAGGUCUUCGGAUCAUAAACCUCUGUUAUUAGGGAAGAACAAAUGUGUAAGUAACUAUGCACGUCUUGACGGUCCCUAAUCAGAAAGCCACGGCUAACUAC